GAUGAACGCUAGCUACAGGCUUAACACAUGCAAGUCGAGGGGCAGCAUGGUCUUAGCUUGCUAAGGCCGAUGGCGACCGGCGCACGGGUGAGUAACACGUAUCCAACCUGCCGUCUACUCUUGGACAGCCUUCUGAAAGGAAGAUUAAUACAAGAUGGCAUCAUGAGUUCACAUGUUCACAUGAUUAAAGGUAUUCCGGUAGACGAUGGGGAUGCGUUCCAUUAGAUAGUAGGCGGGGUAACGGCCCACCUAGUCUUCGAUGGAUAGGGGUUCUGAGAGGAAGGUCCCCUAGAUUGGAAAUGAGACACGGACCACACUCCUACGGGAGGGAGCAGUAAGGAAUAUUGGUGACUGGGCGAGAGCCUGAACCCGCCAAGUAGCGUGAAGGAUGACUGCGCUAUGGGUUGUAAACUUCUUUUAUAAAGGAAUAAAGUCGGGUAUGUAUACCGGUUUGAAUGUACUUUAUGAAUAAGGAUCGGCUAACUACGUG
rnacentral:rRNA from 1 species